rnacentral:misc_RNA from 1 species
UCCAGUGGCAAACAGAGAAGCCGCCGGAGAUUUACCCAAAACUGGCGCUGGUAUACCCGAUAUACGAAUUCUUGCAGGUUUCCCGGCGGAGCGAGUAGCCAAUGCUUGUAAAAGAGCAGCCCACUGAACCCCUUGAACGAUCCCGAAAUCGACUAUGUGAAUCUUGCUUGCUCUCUCGGUGGCCUCGAUAAUUGCCUGGUUCGCUGUUAAAUGAGCAAACUUCGAAUAAGGACACGCAUCAUUUAACGCUUUGUAAGAGAGAGUGAAGUCCUCGCAGGUAGUCUCGAAUAUGGUUAAGCUCUUUUCUGCUUGUAGAGAAACUCUGCUAUAUAAAGCUUCGGCAAAGUAAGAGGCUACUCUCUCAGUUGGAUCUCCU